UGAGUAACCUGCCCUUCACUCUGGGAUAACUCCGGGGAAACCGGGGCUAAUACUGGAUAUGACUCGAACAGGCAUCUGUUUCGGGUGGAAAGAUUUAUUGGUGGAGGAUGGACUCGCGGCCUAUCAGCUUGUUGGUGAGGUAAUGGCUCACCAAGGCGACGACGGGUAGCCGGCCUGAGAGGGCGAUCGGCCACACUGGGACUGAGACACGGCCCAGACUCCUACGGGAGGCA
rnacentral:rRNA from 1 species